AGUGAACGCUGGCGGUAGGCCUAACACAUGCAAGUCGAACGGCAGCACAGUAAGAGCUUGCUCUUACGGGUGGCGAGUGGCGGACGAGUGAGGAAUACAUCGGAAUCUACUUUUUCGUGGGGGAUAACGUAGGGAAACUUACGCUAAUACCGCAUACGACCUACGGGUGAAAGCAGGGGAUCUUCGGACCUUGCGCGAUUGAAUGAGCCGAUGUCGGAUUAGCUAGUUGGCGGGGUAAAGGCCCACCAAGGCGACGAUCCGUAGCUGGUCUGAGAGGAUGAUCAGCCACACUGGAACUGAGACACGGUCCAGACUCCUACGGGAGGCAGCAGUGGGGAAUAUUGGACAAUGGGCGCAAGCCUGAUCCAGCCAUACCGCGUGGGUGAAGAAGGCCUUCGGGUUGUAAAGCCCUUUUGUUGGGAAAGAAAAGCAGCAGGUUAAUACCCCGCUGUUCUGACGGUACCCAAAGAAUAAGCACCGGCUAACCUCGUG
rnacentral:rRNA from 1 species